GGAAAAUUUUAUUUGAAAGUGAACUAAUCUUUUAAAGAAUCGUUUGACUAAAUGAUUGAAUGAUUCACUCAUAAAGAGAGUCACUUGUCGCCACCUAGUGGCAUUAACGAUGUAACCUGCAGAAAGAAUCUCGGAAAAUUCCCCCUUCUUAUGCACAGAUGAACAGUUUAGCAGACUAAUACAAACAAAAUCCCAGUGCUGGGCUAUACUGUUUGAACGCAGGGUUGUUCCGGUUCACCAUUUUGAUUGGACAAGAGGCAUUCCCCACAUGCUAGUAUUGCUUCAAACAAGUUUCUUACACUGAAGAGCAGAGACAGACCAUCAAGCGUGGGUCACCAGGGAGACCAGCCACUGGGGGCCCCCCUGCAAAGCUGCAUAGAAAGGGCCCUCAGCCAUUGAGAAGCUAGGAACAUCUGAAGAAACAUCUAAAAAAGUCUUUGUUGAGUAUCCGGCCCAUUGCUGGGAAUGAUCCUUCGUCCUUUUGAUGAGUUAUCAGCCAGGAUUUGGCUGAACGUAAUUCUUCGGGAUCAAUGAAGAUGAAGCCACGUGACUGAGCAAAUGAUUUCAGUACGAAUGCAGUCAACCUGGAGGACGAAGAGGUAAAAGACACCAACACUGAUGUGUUAUACUAGGAGUUAAUUCUAGGCAACUUGUAAAGGGUUCGAAGUCAGUCUCAGAAGGUAUGACCAUUGACAUUAAACAAACAAAAACACUGUCCACUACCUAUGUCCAAAACUACUUUCUUUCUUGGCCUGUCUUGUUUGUUUCUCAAACACUUGCCUAUAAGUCAAGCUAUACAUUUAAUAAAUGGAGUGUGAAUGU